UAUUAUUACUGUAUUAUUCAAACAUAUUACAAAUUGCAAAGAACUCGCAUGAUAUAUGCAUAAUACAUUUCUUGAGGGGUUGGAAAUUUAUUGAUGGGAAGAGACAUCUUCAUCUUCGUCUUCGUGUUCAUCAGCAUACGCAGAAGACUGAGACGAGUUUUCUGCAGUAACAGCACCCGGGCCAUCUUCAUUCUUGCUCCUGAACAGAUACAACAUGGACAGACUGUUAUAGGUGGAGCUUGGCUUUUGUUUCAGUUCCUCUAUAGUGCUAAUCGUAGCAACUAAUGGUGCUCCG
rnacentral:lncRNA from 1 species